rnacentral:rRNA from 1 species
AUACGUAGGGGGCAAGCGUUGUCCGGAAUUAUUGGGCGUAAAGCGCGCGCAGGCGGUUUUCUAAGUCAGGUGUGAAAGCCCACGGCUCAACCGUGGAGGGCCACUUGAAACUGGAAAGCUUGAGUGCAGGAGAGGAGAGCGGAAUUCCACGUGUAGCGGUGAAAUGCGUAGAGAUGUGGAGGAACACCCGUGGCGAAGGCGGCUCUCUGGCCUGUAACUGACGCUGAGGCGCGAAAGCGUGGGGAGCGAACAGGAUUAGAUACCCUGGUAGUCCACGCCGUAAACGAUGAGUGCUAGGUGUUGGGGACUCCAAUCCUCAGUGCCGCAGCUAACGCACUAAGCACUCCGCCUGGGGAGUACGGCCGCAAGGCUGAA